AACGAACGCUGGCAGCAUGCCUAACACAUGCAAGUCGAACGAGACCUUCGGGUCUAGUGGCGCACGGGUGCGUAACGCGUGGGAACCUGCCUUUAGGUUCGGAAUAACUCAGAGAAAUUUGAGCUAAUACCGGAUGAUGUCUUCGGACCAAAGAUUUAUCGCCUUUAGAUGGGCCCGCGUUGGAUUAGCUAGUUGGUGGGGUAAAGGCCAACCAAGGCGACGAUCCAUAGCUGGUCUGAGAGGAUGAUCAGCCACACUGGGACUGAGACACGGCCCAGACUCCUACGGGAGGCAGCAGUGGGGAAUAUUGGACAAUGGGCGAAAGCCUGAUCCAGCAAUGCCGCGUGAGUGAUGAAGGCCUUAGGGUUGUAAAGCUCUUUUACCCGAGAUGAUAAUGACAGUAUCGGGAGAAUAAGCUCCGGCUAACUCCGUG
rnacentral:rRNA from 1 species